rnacentral:rRNA from 1 species
AAGAUUGAAAGCUGGCGUCUUCGGCGUCCGCAUUGUAAUCUCAAGAAGUGUUUUCCGCUUCGGACCAUGCCUAAGUCCCUUGGAAAAGGGCAUCAUAGAGGGUGAUAAUCCCGUACAUGGCAUGGAGCGCCCGAAGCUUUGUGAUACGCUUUCUAAGAGUCGAGUUGUUUGGGAAUGCAGCUCAAAAUGGGUGGUAAAUGCCAUCUAAGGCUAAAUAUUGGGGAGAGACCGAUAGCGAACAAGUACAGUGAUGGAAAGAUGAAAAGAACUUUGAAAAGAGAGUUAAACAGUACGUGAAAUUGCCAAAAGGGAAGGGUAGGAGGUCAGAGAUGCGGCCUGGGAUUCAGCCUUGCUUUUGCUUGGUGUUUUUCCCAGAUUGCAGGCCAACGUCGGUUUUGGGCACUGGAGAAGGGUAGGAGGAACGUGGCACCUCUCGGGGUGUGUUAUAGCCUCCUACUGGAUACAGCGACCGAGACCGAGGACAGCAGCGUACUCGCAAGAGCGGGCCUUCGGGCACCUUUACGCUUAGGGCGUUGGCAUAAUGGCCCUCUACCACCCGUCUUG